AUUGAACGCUGGCGGCAGGCCUAACACAUGCAAGUCGAGCGGAGCGGCGGACGGGCGAGUAAUGACUAGGAAGCUGCCUGGCAGUGGGGGAUAACGUCCGGUAACGGGCGCUAAUAUCGCAUACUAUCAGAUGAGCCUAGGUCGGAUUAGCUAGUUGGUGGGGGAAAGGCAUACCAAGGCGACGAUCCGUAACUGGUCUGAGAGGCUGAUCAGUCACACUGGAACUGAGACACGGUCCAGACUCCUACGGGAGGCAGCAGUGGGGAAUAUUGGACAAUGGGCGAAAGCCUGAUCCAGCCAUGCCGCGUGUGUGAAGAAGGUCUUCGGAUUGUAAAGCACUUUAAGUUGGGAGGCGUUACCAACAGAAUAAGCACCGGCUAACUUCGUGCCAGCAGCCGCGGUAAUUC
rnacentral:rRNA from 1 species